rnacentral:rRNA from 1 species
AUUGAACGCUGGCGGCGUGCCUAAUACAUGCAAGUCGAACGCAGUGGGGACGGGUGAGUAACACGUGGGUAACCUCCCCCUCAGAGGGGAUAACACUUGGAAACAGGUGCUAAACCGAUACUGAUGGAUGGACCAGCGGUUCAUGAGCUAGUUGGUGAGGUAACGGCUCACCAAGGCCACGAUGCAUAGCCGACCUGAGAGGGUGAUCAGCCACACUGGGACUGGGAUACGGCCAAGACUCCUACGGGAGGCAGAAGGAGGGAAUCGUGGGCAAUGGACGAAAGCUCGACCGAGCAACGCCGCGUGAGUGAAGAAGGUUUUCGGAUCGGAAAACACUGGUGUUAGAGAAGCGGUAUCUAACCAGAAAGCCACGGCUAACUACGUGCCAGCAGCCGCGGUAAUUC